rfam:Croceitalea dokdonensis DOKDO 023 contig2, whole genome shotgun sequence.
UUACAUGAGGAAGGAUUUGACUGAUUGCAACCUCAAUGACCCGUAUGCGGUUAUGUAAAAAUGCUAAAGCAGUUCUA